CUUCUACCUUUCCAUGCGCUUCGGGAAGGAUGCAGUGAUACUUCAAAACUAAACGUGUUUAUCAUUCCUUCCUCUUCCUUCUGUUUCCUGAAAAGGAUCUAAUCUAACUUCAAAAGCCAAGAAUUUCUUUCCAUGAUGGGACUGCUGCAUGGCUUCUCUUUGAUGACGGUCUUCACAGCAUCGGUAGUCACCGACUAUGAUCCUCCCAUCUUAUUGUGAGUCGCAUGCAUUUUUGUUCCUCUGGUCACUCAAUCAUGUCGUAGGAUGAAAGGUCCGAAUCGACACGGGUGACUGGUUGUAUUACGUAGA